GACGAACGCUGGCGGCGUGCUUAACACAUGCAAGUCGAACGAUGAAGAAGAGAUACGCGAUCUUCGGUUCAAAUUUCACUUCGGAUUAGUGGCAGACGGGUGAGUAACGCGUGAGCAACCUACCUCUUACAAAGGGAUAGCCUCGGGAAACCGUGAUUAAUACCAUAUGACACAUUCAUAAGGCAUCUUAAGAAUGUUAAAGCUACGGCGGUAAGGGAUGGGCUCGCGUCCCAUUAGCUAGUUGGUGAGGUAACGGCCCACCAAGGCGACGAUGGGUAACCGGGCAGAGAGAGUGAACCGACACACUGGAGCUAGGACACGGUCCAAACUCUUACGGGAGGCGGCAGUGGGGAAUAUUGCACUAUGGAGGGAACUCUGAUGCAGCUAGGCCGCGUAAGCGAUGAAGGAAUUCGUGUCGUAAAGCUCUGUUCUAUGGGAAGAAAAGGACUGUACCAUAGGAGAAAGCCCCGGCUAAAUACGUG
rnacentral:rRNA from 1 species